UCCACAACAACACGUCUGCUCACACCGAAAGGAACCUCAACUACAGCUGCACUGAAAACCACAACGCAUCCAGUCCUGUGACCAUCCUCUGAGCACGUGUGGUGCAUUCAGGGUCCACUCUAAAGUCCACUGGACUUCAGUCUGAUGACGUGUCAGUUUGUCAGUGAGACAGACGGAGGAUCUACAGCCGUUUAUUCAUUAUUUCAUUCUUUUUACACCUCCAGACACAAAUGUAAAAAAACAAACAGUGAGGAGUUCUGGCAGGAUUUAUUGGUUUACUAUUAAGGUAUUACACUGAGAUGUGCAGACAGCUGAAAUCAGGUCCUACCCAGCAGAGGAGAUGUUUCAGGACAUUUCUGCAGCUUCUUCUGCGGCUCUUCGACCCUCCUCUCCUCCGGAGGCUUCUGCUCAUCUCUCUGCUCCUCCCGCUGGACCUCCUUGGCUCCGGUUGAGGAGGAGAACUGUCGGACCUGGUUCGGCUGGGUCACAUUGCUGUGGGACUGCUGGUUCUGGACGAAGGCGAACCGGAUGUCCAGGGAGCGGACGUAGAAGACGACGGUGACGGAGAUGUGCAGGAAGCAGAGCAGCACCACCAGCUUACAGGUCCGGUGGAGGAGGUUGAAGUUAACGGUGGAGUCUGCCGCCAUCCUCCAGCAAUGUGAGUGAGACAGCCGCUGGAGAGCACUACCGGAGGGCACUACCGGAGAGCACUACCGGAGAGCACUACCGGAGGGCACUACCGGAGAGCGGAAGUAUGACUGCUCCCAGUUAGCUGCUGCUGCUGUCGGGCUCCAUGUUCCGUAAACUUCUCUUCAAACGUUACAACUUCUGGACUCAGAAUCACCCUGAAAGCUGACAGAAAAGGGCCGAAUCAGAGCUCAGAGUCCGGGGAAAAGUUUCCGCUCUGUCCCAGUCGGUUAGCAGUUAGCUACAUUAGCUUUCCGUCCGUUCACGUUAAAAGUGACGUUACAGUUACAGUUACCGCUAACUGUUAGCAGCGCAGGAACUGUGGUCCUUUACAAAAACGUCUGGUUUAAAGAUGGAAAGUCGCCCCGCAGCUCAGAAAUAUACUUUAUAAAAUAUGAAAGAAUUCAGGUUCAAUAAAUGUUCAUUAAAUUUACUGUUUCCGACCUCAAACGAUAUAAAAGUGACGGAGAAACUCGACAAAGUUUCCCCGCUGCUCCAGAGGGCACCAAA